UUAUCUCUCUCUCCCUUACACUUUACAUGAGGUGUUAAAAAACUUGGGGAAAUGCUGCCCUACCGGAUGUAACACAGGAGUAUAUAAAGGAGAAUUCUGUCUGCAAGGAUCAUAGCUCAACGCAGCAGAAGACAAGAAAGACACAGAGUCUAUUGAAUUGAAUCCACAGUUACUCAUCGUUUGUCCAAGUUGUUUUCCAUCUGAAGCAAUAGUUAUAAAUAAUUUCUCUCAUAUAUAAAGGCCUGGUACUCAUCAUUUAACCAAAUUGUUUUCCAUCGGAAAGAAAUAGUUAUAAAUAAUUUCUCUCAUAUAUAAAGGCCCGAUCACGACUUCCAGAAUGUUUCCAAAAUUCUCUUUUCUCCUGAUCUUUGCAGUUGUUUUGAGUCUCACCCAUAAGUCCUUAUGUCAAAACUGGCAUGCAUUUCAGAGGGUGCACCUGACAGACACCAUGGCUGUUGACUGUGAUAAUAUCAUGUCAAGAAACUUGUUCAACUGCAAGGACAGGAACACUUUUAUCUUUUCACUUCCUGGGCCAGUGAAGGCCCUCU